GAUGAACGCUGGCGGCAUGCUUUACACAUGCAAGUCGAACGGUAACAGGCCGCAAGGUGCUGACGAGUGGCGAACGGGUGAGUAAUGCAUCGGAACGUGCCCAGUCGCGGGGGAUAACGCAGCGAAAGCUGCGCUAAUACCGCAUACGAUCUCUGGAUGAAAGCGGGGGACCGAAAGGCCUCGCGCGAUUGGAGCGGCCGAUGUCAGGUUAGGUAGUUGGUGGGGUAAAGGCCCACCAAGCCAACGAUCUGUAGCUGGUCUGAGAGGACGACCAGCCACACUGGGACUGAGACACGGCCCAGACUCCUACGGGAGGCAGCAGUGGGGAAUUUUGGACAAUGGGCGCAAGCCUGAUCCAGCAAUGCCGCGUGCAGGAAGAAGGCCUUCGGGUUGUAAACUGCUUUUGUACGGAACGAAACGGUCCGGGUUAAUACCCUGGGCUAAUGACGGUACCGUAAGAAUAAGCACCGGCUAACUACGUGCCAGCCGCCGCGGUAA
rnacentral:rRNA from 1 species